UACGUAGGGCGCAAGCGUUGUCCGGAUUUAUUGGGCGUAAAGAGCGUGUAGGCGGCCAGGUAGGUCCGGUGUGAAAACUCGAGGCUUAACCUCGAGAUGUCAUCGGAAACCAUCUGGCUAGAGUCCGGAAGAGGAAAGUGGAAUUCCUGGUGUAGCGGUGAAAUGCGCAGAUAUCAGGAAGAACACCCGUGGCGAAGGCGGCUCUCUGGGACGGUACUGACGCUGAGACGCGAAAGCGUGGGGAGCGAACAGG
rnacentral:rRNA from 1 species